AUUGAACGCUGGCGGCAGGCCUAACACAUGCAAGUCGAGCGGAUGAAGGGAGCUUGCUCCCUGAUUUAGCGGCGGACGGGUGAGUAAUGCCUAGGAAUCUGCCUGGUAGUGGGGGAUAACGUUCCGAAAGGAACGCUAAUACCGCGUACGUCCUACGGGAGAAAGCAGGGGACCUUCGGGCCUUGCGCUAUCAGAUGAGCCUAGGUCGGAUUAGCUAGUUGGUGAGGUAAUGGCUCACCAAGGCGACGAUCCGUAACUGGUCUGAGAGGAUGAUCAGUCACACUGGAACUGAGACACGGUCCAGACUCCUACGGGAGGCAGCAGUGGGGAAUAUUGGACAAUGGGCGAAAGCCUGAUCCAGCCAUGCCGCGUGUGUGAAGAAGGUCUUCGGAUUGUAAAGCACUUUAAGUUGGGAGGAAGGGCAGUAAGUUAAUACCUUGCUGUUUUGACGUUACCGACAGAAUAAGCACCGGCUAACUUC
rnacentral:rRNA from 1 species